GAGCCCGUGGCUCAAUGGUUAGAGCGUUGGACUUCUGAUUAAAGGGUCGCGGGUUCG
rnacentral:tRNA from 1 species